rnacentral:lncRNA from 1 species
UUUCAAAUGGACCUCUCUCCAGUUGCCAGGCUGACUCUGCUGCCAAAGCCAGGAGAAUGCUGGCAGCUCCCCAGGGAAGCAUUUUAAUCUCCAGCAUCAAACCAGACCCCUCUUCCAUCCGCCAUCUGCCUGUCUCCAGCCACCUCCAUCCAGGGAAAGCAGGAUGGGACUGAAGGCCUAAUCGGAUCACGGCUCCCGUGUUGUGCACUAAUCAGAUUGUGCUGCAGCCGGGUCCUGCCAGGGGAGCCUUCAGACUCCAGUCUAAGCCUGCUCAGACGGCACCCUCUCUCCUCCCAUCUCAAUUGGAGAGGAGUGGAGAUUCACUGUCUCUCCCUCUGCACACAUCUUGGGCAAGCACAUGCCCAACUUCCUGCUUUUCCUGACUUGACUGUUUAAGAAGGUGGUGGGCCAGAGAGGAUAUCAUCACUCCACAUUCCAGACGGUUGUGAGACGCCCAGUGUGGGCCGAAUGCCUGACGAAGCCAGAAGAGGACAUACAGAUUCUUUGGAGCUGGAGUCACGGGCAGAUCUGAGUCUGCCCUGGAGGCCUGACUCCCAGUGCUGCAGCUGUCUCUAGCAAGGUGGCACUUCCUCAGUAAACCGGGGUCACGCGUGGCUCUUGCCCUCUCUGGUCCGCUCAGCCUCUCCUCAGGAUCUGGAGUCUGAAACAUCGCGUUUCCCUUCCGCAGUGAUGCAGGUUCCAAGGCCUAAGAAGUCUCUGUUUCAGAGGAACUACUUCAAGGCAGGCUGCUGAUUCACUUUUCUCUGGGAAUGAGUGCCGAGAGCCGGAAGACAGCACUAGCUGUCAUCCACUGGGGACAGCGAGUUGUGCUACCCAGGUCCUUCUCACAAUUGGGUGUUGGAAGCUGCACGCGAGUCACCGAUGGCCAGCCAUUUUUUUCCUCACCCUGUAAGGUUUCCUGCUUGGCUGGACCCAUGUUCCUGACCCUGAUACUCUUUCCCUGCCUGUAGAAGAAACAUCCAGCAAAGCACAGCCACUUGCAGGCAGUAAUGCAGUGCUGGUCCCCAGUCCUUGUGCUCACUGUGGAUUCCUCUAGGACUGGGGCCGGAGGAAUACGGGAAGGUAAAAGGUGACCAGAGCCUUCUCAGGAUGCAGAAAGCACCAACUUUCACAGAACCAUGCCCUGGAAGGAGGGAGACACAAGCUACGACACCAGCUGUGAGAGAAGAUUGUGUCUGUGAGAACUGGAGGCUCUCUCUGCCUUUCCCCUGGAGGUCUCUGGGUGAAUGUGGCUUCAAUUCAUGUUGCUGGGGGCCCCUCAGUGAGAGCAGCCUCUGUAGCACUCCAUCCCCGGUCACAAGGACAGGAUCCUGUCAAGUGAGGGCAGCAUGUGGCUGUCGCAUGUGGCUGUUGCCUCUCACACUGGGCAGUGAGGCAAGAUGAGAGAAGAGAGCCCCUUAAUUGGCCCACUCAGUAACAAUCAGAUUCAGGACUAACCAGGUUAAGUUAAACAAGGUAGGUCUAGGACUCAGUCUUGAUGAUGGUGAUGGUGGUGAUGCUUGUGAUUAUGAUGCUGCUGGUGAUUGUAGUUCUUUAACAGGCUAUCCAAUACAGCACUGGCUUCUUGUCUUUUGAUUUUCCCUAUACACCCUCCCGGCUCCCAGAGUUCUCUAAGAGCAGCCUGCUUAGCUCAGGCAGGUUUUUUUUUUGAGAGAGAGAGCACAGCAGCUCUCUUGGUGAAGGGAAGGAGUUAGUAGUAGAAACAGCUAGAGAUGCGCCCCUCAGCAAGAGGGGCUUAGAUGUACAGCUUCUCUGGUUUUCCACUAGGUGAGGUGUCUGCUCCUGUUCCUGGCCUAGUGCAGAGGGUGGUUCUGAUGGUCGGGCGGGUCCUUUGCUCCAGGAAGGCUCAGCAAGGAAGUGGAGUCCAGCUGAAGGUCAGCAGAGGCCACUUCAGGUCCUGCCCCACACUUUGUCCCUCUGCUCUCUGCCCACCCGUAGCUCUGACAGCCUGAACAGGAACAGGAGGGGCUGCAGCUGUUGAGCUGGUGUGGGC